UGGCUCAGGAUGAACGCUGGCGGCGUGCCUAACACAUGCAAGUCGAACGGGUUAAGGGAAAUUUCGGAUGGAACUUAACUUAGUGGCGGACGGGUGAGUAACGCGUGGAUAACCUGCCUCACACUGGGGGAUAGCAGCUGGAAGCGGCUGGUAAUACCGCAUAACGACCCCGGUGCCGCAUGGCACCGGAGGUAAAAGAUUUAUCGGUGUGAGAUGGAUCCGCGUCUGAUUAGCCAGUUGGCGGGUAACGGCCCACCAAAGCGACGAUCAGUAGCCGGCCUGAGAGGGUGAACGGCCACAUUGGGACUGAGACACGGCCCAAACUCCUACGGGAGGCAGCAGUGGGGAAUAUUGCACAAUGGGCGCAAGCCUGAUGCAGCAACGCCCGCGUGAGUGAAGAAGUAUUUCGGUAUGUAAAGCUCUAUCGGCAGGGAAGAAAGGCCCUUUAAGGGAGAUGACGGUACCUGACUAAGAAGCCCCGGCUAACUACGUGCCAGCCGCAGC
rnacentral:rRNA from 1 species